UACGUAGGGGCUAGCGUUGUCCGGAUUUAUUGGGCGUAAAGAGCGUGUAGGCGGCUUUACAGGUCCGUUGUGAAAACUCGAGGCUCAACCUCGAGACGCCGGUGGAAACCGUAAAGCUAGAGUCCGGAAGAGGAGAGUGGAAUUCCUGGUGUAGCGGUGAAAUGCGCAGAUAUCAGGAGGAACACCCGUGGCGAAAGCGGCUCUCUGGGACGGUACUGACGCUGAGACGCGAAAGCGUGGGGAGCAAACAGG
rnacentral:rRNA from 1 species